rnacentral:rRNA from 1 species
CCUACGGGAGGCUGCAGUAGGGAAUCUUCCACAAUGGGCGAAAGCCUGAUGGAGCAACGCCGCGUGGGUGAAGAAGGUCUUCGGAUCGUAAAACCCUGUUGUUAUAGAAGUAAGUUCGUGAGAGUAACUUUUCACGUUUCGACGGUAUCUAACCAGAAAGCCACAGCUAACUACGUGCCAGCCGCCGCGGUAAUACGUAGGUGGCAAGCGUUAUCCGGAUUUAUUGGGCGUAAAGGGAACGCAGGCGGUCUGUUAAGUCUGAUGUGAAAGCCUUCGGCUUAACCGGAGUAGUGCAUUGGAGACUGGGAGACUUGAGUGCAGAAGAGGAUAGUGGAACUCCAUGUGUAGCGGUGAAAUGCGUAGAUAUAUGGAAGAACACCAGUGGCGAAGGCGGCUUACUGGACUGUAACUGACGUUGAGGCUCGAAAGCGUGGGGAGCAAACAGGAUUUGAUACCCGGGUAGUC